GUCGCUUCUCAGCCUUUUGGCCAAGGUCAAGGUAGCAUCUGUUCUUAUCAGUGUAACAUCUGAUACGUCCUCUGUCCGAGGGCAGUAUGUGAGAUGGAUUUUUGGAGCCGGGAGAGGGAAUAGGAGCUUGCUUGGUCCCCUCCACGCGUCGACCCGGUAUUGCAGUGCCUUUGGGAACAGUGCCCCAAAA